UAAUNCCGGAUACGAGCUUCAGCCGCAUGGCUAGGAGCUGGAAAGAAUUUCGGUCAAGGAUGGACUCGCGGCCUAUCAGCUAGUUGGUGAGGUAAUGGCUCACCAAGGCGACGACGGGUAGCCGGCCUGAGAGGGUGACCGGCCACACUGGGACUGAGACACGGCCCAGACUCCUACGGGAGGCAGCAGUGGGGAAUAUUGCACAAUGGGCGCAAGCCUGAUGCAGCAACGCCGCGUGAGGGACGACGGCCUUCGGGUUGUAAACCUCUUUUAGAAGGGAAGAAGCGAAAGUGACGGUACCUGCAGAAAAAGCACCGGCUAACUACGUGCCAGCAGCCGCGGUAAUACGUAGGGUGCAAGCGUUAUCCGGAAUUAUUGGGCGUAAAGAGCUCGUAGGCGGUUUGUCGCGUCUGCUGUGAAAACUGGAGGCUCAACCUCCAGCCUGCAGUGGGUACGGGCAGACUAGAGUGCGGUAGGGGAGAUUGGAAUUCCUGGUGUAGCGGUGGAAUGCGCAGAUAUCAGGAGGAACACCGAUGGCGAAGGCAGAUCUCUGGGCCGUAACUGACGCUGAGGAGCGAAAGCAUGGGGAGCGAACAGGAUUAGAUACCCUGGUAGUCCAUGCCGUAAACGUUGGGAACUAGAUGUAGGGACCAUUCCACGGUUUCUGUGUCGCAGCUAACGCAUUAAGUUCCCCGCCUGGGGAGUACGGCCGCAAGGCUAAAACUCAAAGGAAUUGACGGAAUCGA
rnacentral:rRNA from 1 species